UUUUUUCAAUAAUUUCAAACAAUGGAACAAAUUACCGAUAUUUGUGAAUUAUCAGACGAAAAAUUAAUUAUUCCCUGUUUGAAAAAAAGGUUUGAGCAACGCAAUAUUUAUACUUAUAUUUCCAAAGUGCUAAAUUCUAUAAACCCAUAUAUGGAGAUAGAUGGUUUACAUUCAAAAGAAAAGAUUAUGUUUCACCGAGGAGAUAUGCAAAAUGAAUUCCCACCGCAUAUUUUUGCCAUCGCCAACAACGUUGGAGAAAACAUAAGUGUUGAGAAGUCACAAUCUAUUAUUCUGACGGGAGAAUCAGGAUCAGGAAAAACUAAAAGCAUAGAGUAUCUUAUGUAUUUUAUUUGUAUGACCUCACCCGAUUCGACUAUGUCUGUUCAAGAUCAGCGGCGUAUUAGUGCCACAAGUUUGGUUUUCGAGAUCUUCGGCAAUGCUCGAACAAGAAUAGCUCGCGAUUUAUCAAGUUGACGGAGAUUUACUUUUAUCCAAAUAAGAAAAUAGCUACAAUUCAAAUUUUUUAUCAACUACUUGAAAGUAGUAGAGUUUAUGGGCAAAACAAAGAUGAGAGUAACUUUCAUAUCUUCUAUUAUCUCUUGAAGUCAGCGAAUUCCUACAAAGAUCUUCAUCUUAACAUCAGUGAAAAAUAUGAGUAUUUGCCGAAAUAUUCAGGAAUAGAAGAUUUGGAAAGUUUGCCAGAUAUGAAUCUCAUUGACGAAUCAUUAGCUAGUGUUGGAAUUUGUAAUAAAACCAGAAUUCAAAUAUACAAAACACUAGCUGCAAUUUUGCAUUUAGACAACGUGGAUAUUGAAGAAAAUAUCGCAAAUGAAAAAUGUAAAAUAUCGGAUCCAACAAGAAAACACUUUGAUUGUGCUGCUCAGCUAUUGAAUAUUGAUCAACAAUUGCUUGAAACAGCGAUACUGACUCGUGACAUUCAAUCUGGUUCCGAGGA